rnacentral:rRNA from 1 species
UACGGGGGGGGCAAGCGUUGUUCGGAUUUACUGGGCGUAAAGGGCGCGUAGGCGGUCUCGGAAAGUGAGUUGUGAAAUCUCCGAGCUUAACUCGGAAAGGUCAACUGAUACUGCGGGGCUAGAGUGCGGAAGGGGCAACUGGAAUUCUUGGUGUAGCGGUGAAAUGCGUAGAUAUCAAGAGGAACACCUGCGGCGAAGGCGGGUUGCUGGGCCGACACUGACGCUGAGGCGCGAAAGCUAGGGGAGCGAACGGG